rfam:Bosea sp. Leaf344 contig_9, whole genome shotgun sequence.
GGGUCCGCAGUUCACCCAGGCGUCACCGAUCCCGCGAGGGAAGCUAAACCUGCUC